CACCAUCUUAGCAUCACGUUUGGCACGAGAGAGUCGCAUAUUUUCCACGGUUGUACAGCUGAUUAAAGUGUUUAAUUAUCGGUGAAAGUUACAAAAAAGUUAUCAAAAAUGAGCUACGGUAGGCCACCACCUCGUAUAGAUGGUAUGGUGUCCUUGAAGGUGGAUAAUUUGACGUAUCGAACAACGCCGGAGGAUCUGAGACGCGUGUUCGAGCGCUGUGGCGAGGUUGGGGAUAUUUACAUUCCUCGCGAUCGUUUCACCCGUGAAAGCCGAGGUUUCGCAUUCGUCAGAUUCUACGACAAGCGAGAUGCUGAAGAUGCAUUGGACGCUAUGGAUGGAAGACUUUUGGAUGGCAGGGAGCUGAGAGUACAGAUGGCACGUUACGGACGACCAACAUCACCCCAUCGUAGCCGUGGAAGUCGUCGCCGUGGAAGGUCACGGUCUAGGUCUCCCAGCCGUGAUAGAGGUCGAAAGCGUUCUUACAGUCGCAGUCGCAGUCAUUCCCGUUCGGACAGCAAGAGCUCCCGCGGCAAGUCACAUUCUCGUAGCAAGUCGGCUGAAAGACAAAAGGACAGCCGCUCCAAAUCAAGGGAUUGAAGAUAAUUUGGCAUGAUGGGUAUAGCAGGGAACUGAUGGGUGCGCUCAGUUGCAAAAGCAGUAAAGCAUUCUGACAAAAAAUAAAGGCGGUGGGAAGGAGUGGCGUGGCGAGUGUAGCUGAUGAUGGGGGUAGCUGAGUAAGCAGUAAGCCGAGUAGCGGGGCUGUAAGCAGUAUGCAGUAGCGAGCGAGCGAGCGGUUGGUGGUCUGGUGAAAGCGAGUUCGCGACCAGUCAGGCGAGAGUGUGCGAGCGUAAGCAGUCUAGGGGUUCAGAGUGCAGACAGAUAUUGCAGAACGCAGCCAGAACUACGCUGUGCUGUCGAAGCCGAUCUUUACUCGCAGGUAGCACGAGAAUCACCAGACCUCGCAAGCACCAACGCAUAUAACAGCAAUUAAUGAGCCUUUUUUCCACUUGCAGAAAUAAUCAGGACCUAGAGAAAAUUUUUAUCUGUUCAUGAUUGAGAAUUUCGUUGUUCUCAAUUCAUAAACUGGGAAGUUCUCUAGGUCAAGAUUGUUCUUGCAUGUGCAUCGAAAGGUUCCGUGAUUUCCAUUCAAUAUCGAACGUUACUUGCUGUUAUAGUUGAUUUUUCAUAAAUUCUAAACAAAAGUUUACCAUUGAAAAUGCAUGCGCGAUAUCAAAGGGGCGUAAAUUUUAAUUGGGAUUGCUGAUCUGUUACAUUGUGACUCUUUUACAAUAUGGGCUUUUUUUUAUACACAUGAUUUCUCAAAACUCCUUCCAACUAGAAACAUAUUUGAGUAAAUUGCCACUACUCCGGAGCAAAUGGCUUGGGUUGGGGACAUUCUGUGUUUGUGUAUUCAAUUUCAGGUAUUCAGGAUAUCAUCGAAUUUGGGUCAAUGUGAAGGUAAGGUGGUAAUAUCAACAAUACUUGACAAAAAUUCUUCAAGGACUCCAAGGGAUGUGGAUUGUAACUGUUGGAAAUGAUAAUAAAUACGCUAUUAAGUAACGU
rnacentral:misc_RNA from 1 species